AUCAAUCAAAUGUUAUUAAUUAAUUUUAUACAUUCGUCAAUUUUAUAUGAAUUCAAAAUAUUUUAAGCUUAAUGAGAUAGAUGGUGUUUGGACUUUUUUAAAAUCAGUAGAUUGGUCAGAAAAAUGGCUACAAGGAUUAAUUUGUUUUCAUUUGGGUUGUUUAAUUUUAACUUAUAGCCUGUGCAAAUAUCAUAAUAUUCAAGCCAUCUAUUUUGCCAUAUUAUUAAGUAUUGUAUAUUUUGCUGAAAAUAUUAAUAAAUAUGGAGCAAUAUAUUGGAAAAAUUUUUCUAAUCAUCAAUAUUUUGAUAGUAAUGGUGUUUUUAUUUCAUUGGUUCUAUCAGCUCCAAUAUUGAUAAAUUGUUUAUUGAUUAUAUGUAAUUGGUUGUGGAAUGCUUCCUUAUUAUUAAAUAAUAUUAGAAAUAAUAGAUCUAAAUUAAUAUCAAAGCAGUUAAAAAAAGAAAAUGAUAUGGCAAAAGACAAAAAAUUAUCAUAAAGUUUAUUUGAUAAAUAUUUAUAUUUUAAAACUAUUAUAUAAAGUUUACCAAUAUCUAUAGUUUAUAAAUUAAAGUAUAUACCUGCUUAUAUUCAAUAAAAUGUGUAUA